GUGCCCCACCUCCCUGCUGUCAGCGCCUAGAUGGUUGUGUGGUUGCUGGGAAUUGAACUCAGGACCUCUAGAAGAACAGUCAGUGCUCUUAACCUCUGAGCCAUCUCUCCAGCCAAGAGAUCACUCUUGCAUUGUGACACCAUGCAACGCUUCCGUGGUCUCUCCUGGUCUCCACUUCACAGAGAAGUGCACCAAAGAACUUCUUGUAGUAUUCUGGCUGAGUGCUGCCGCUUCUGUUGACUCUUGCCAAUUCAGCAGAAUCGUACGUUCCUGCUGGAUCCAGCGCUGCUACUGAUUCCCGUGUGGUGUUUGCUAUUGGACUGGACUGCUGGUAUCCUGACAACGAAGAGCUGAGUUGCCCAAAAAACUAAAAUGUCUACAACUCCCUUUUCCUAUUAACCUUCUACCCCACCCCCAACCUCCAGUCGGCGGCUUAGAAGGGCGGUUGACGUGUUCAAGAACCCUAAAUAAAGUAGG
rnacentral:lncRNA from 1 species